rnacentral:piRNA from 1 species
UGCUCUAGACGAUUAACAGCCGCUGAGGG